GUUUCCACUUGCCUCGAAAGAAAGGUGUAUUUAAUGUUCAAGCAUUCUUAUUGGUUGGUUCAAUUCUGAUGAAAAUAAGGCGUGUUGUGAUUGGCCCCGCUUGCAGAUGGGGGAGAUCGCGAACGUCAGGUGUCCCCAGUAUGAAAUGUGAUGCAAGGGGAAAAGUAGCUGCUGGAGAUGAUCGUGGACUACAGGAAAAGGAGGCCCGAACAGGCCUCCAUUAACAUCGACGGGGCUGUAGUGGAGCGGGUCGAGAGUUUCAAGUUCCUUGGUGUCCACAUCACCAACAAACUCAUGGUCCAAACACACCAAGACAGUUGUGAAGAGGGCACGGCAACAUCUUGUCCCCCACAGGAGACUGAAAAGAUUUGGUAUAGGUUCCAAGAUCAUCAAAAAGUUCUACAGCUGCACCAUCAAGAGCAUCACCGCCUGGCAUGGCAACUGCUCGGCAUCCGACCGUAAGGCGCUACAGAGGUUAGUGCGUAUGGCCCUAUACAUCACUGGGGCCAAGCUUCCUGCCAUCCAGGACCUAUAUACUAGGCGGUGUCAGAGGAAGGCCCCAAAAAUUGUCAAAGACUCCAGUCAUCCAAGUCAUAGACUGUUCUCUCUGCUAUCGCACGGCAAGCGGCAAGGCUAGGUCGAAUAGGCUCCUUAACAGCUUCUAUCCCCAAGCUAUAAGACUGCUGAACAAUUAAUCAAAUGGCCACCCGGACUAUUUACAUUGAACCCCCCCCAUUUUUACACUGCUGCUACUCGCCGUUUAUUAUCUAUGCAUUGUCACUUUACCCCUAUCUACAUGUACAAAUUACCUCGACUAACCUGUACCCCCGCACAUUGACUUGGUACUGGUUCCCCCUGUAUAUAGCCUCGUUAUUGUUAUGUAAUUUUGUUGAGUACUUUUUAUUACAUUUUUUACUUUAGUUUAUUUAGUAAAUAUUUUCUUAGCUCUUUCUUGAACUUCUCUGUUGGUUAAGGGCUUGUAAGUAAGCAUUUCACGGUAAGGUAGUAAGGUCUACACCAGUUGUAUUCAGAGCAUGUGACAAAUAACAUUUGAUUUGAUAUAUUUGAUUUACUACCUUGGCAGCAUCUGAUGGGAUCCCUAAUAAAUACAAAAAAUAUAUAUAAACAGUAUACACAGUAUAUUAUACUGUAUAUAUUGUGUGUGUAUCUGUGUGUGCAUGUGUUCCUACUGAGACGGAUGGCGUCUCCAAAUUAAGAAUAUGCCACUGACUUCAGAGCAACUGUCUUGGUUAGGCAGGGAGCUUACCUCCAGCCAAGUUUUAUGAGCAGAAUCAGAGAGCCUGACCUCCCUCUGUCUGUCUGUCUGUCUGUACGUACCAACCACCAACUUGUCUAGCCAGUUAGUUGUUUUUAUUGGAUGAUGUUUCUUUUCAUGAGCAAUACAUGUGAGAUCACGUUACAUUGGGUGAUGUUUCUUUUCAUGAGCAAUACAUGUGAGAUCACGUUACAUUGGGUGAUGUUUCUUUUCAUGAGCAAUACAUGUGAGAUCACGUUACAUUGGGUGAUGUUUCUUUUCAUGAGCAAUACAUGUGAGAUCACGUUACAUUGGGUGAUGUUUCUUUUAAUGAGCAAUACAUGUGAGAUCACGUUACAUUGGGUGAUGUUUCUUUUCAUGAGCAAUACAUGUGAGAUCACGUUACAUUGGAUGAUGUUUCUUUUCAUGAGCAAUACAUGUGAGAUCACGUUACAUUGGGUGAUGUUUGUUUUCAUGAGCAAUACAUGUGAGAUCACGUUACAUUG